GGUGCAUUCCUCCAUUGUCUCCCGAGACAAAUGAAUGCCAACAACAAUUAGUACAUAAUAAGAAAAACAAAUAAUUGCACACUAGCUACUUUCAUAUUCAUGCCCCAUAUGUCACCUAGAUUAGAGAGCGAUAAAACAAAGAGGGAAAUGAUUCUGAAGCAACUUAUUCAUAAACAGUAUAACAAGAGAAGCAGCCCCCAAGCUGACUUCCUUUUAGACUCUGUGCUUCUUUCUUCUUUGUCUUUUUCUUCAUUCAGUAGCCAUAAACCUAUUGCCUUAUUUUGUUCCACAUCACCAUGGCUUCUUCUGUAGUUGAGAAUCUUACUUGUAUUGGUCCUCAUUCAGUUUUAUUCCCAAUAUUGUGGUGAUUACUUUCAGUGCCUAAUAUUUUCAAUGGCAAUUUUGUCAAGAAUGUGCUACUGAAAAAGGGAGGUGCAACACCAUUGCUCACUCCAGAUACAGAAAAGGAGUAGGGAUGGAGUACUUGACCCAAGAUAUCAGGUAGAAAGAUUCCAUUCAGCUUUCUGCCAUCUUUUUAGACUACCUCAUGCCAGUCUCCAGCUUGUGGUAGUUGACUUAUUAUUUGGUAUGAGCCUAUUUCAGUUUUGCAUGUUGCGGAGUUGUCCUGCAGCUUGCUAAUGAAAUACUGUACACAUGAUUCACCAGAUCUUCCCAAGAGGAACCUUCAUGCAUAUAAAUUAAACUCAGCAAAAGUAUUUUUCCUUCCUAUGUCCUUUCUUAUUUGUCACAUUUUACUUACUCUUACCCCUAUAUAAUCAACUACCUUUAACAUUCCUUCUCUGCUCCCCUAACACCCAGCUGGGCAGUAUAUAUGGUUCUUCAAGAAACCCCUUUCUGGCCUUUGUGCUGCAGUAUGCUCACAUACAUCAACCUUCCCCUCUUUUUUUUUUUCAUUUCCCCCUGUCUCUUCCUGUUACCUCCCUGGCUGUGGCACUGGCAGCACCCAGAAACAGAAACCAAAGGCUUCUCCAUACCUUCCUAGGAAAAUUGAAGCAGUGCUUGAGUGGCCACAAUCCCAGCAGAAUGAAAGAAGACAAUUGGGGUUCAUCCUUGAUAGAGUAAAAGGCGCCCCACCAGGAGAUGGGGCUGUCCGGCUAACUGGUUACCAUCAGAAAACUGGUCAGGUGAUUGCCACCAAGGACUCGGGACUGAAUUACUGCACCGAUUCCAUGAGAUCCAAUAUUAAACAUGGCUACUUCGUGUUUGGAGAACAGGAGGUAUAGAAUGGUGCUUUGGCAGGAGAGCAUUAGGCUUGGAGAUGGACUUAGGUUUAUAUCCCAGUCCAGCUGAGAAGUUCACAGAGUGUCCUCAGACAGAUUAUUAUCCUUGCACUGAUUGGAUGGUUACUUAGCACUACCAUUGCUGCAAGCACUAGAAUACUGUACAGUGGUAUCACGGGUUACAGAUG